rnacentral:rRNA from 1 species
UCCCCGGGCUCAACCUGGGCACUGCAGUUGAAACUGGCAAGCUAGAGUAGGGUAGAGGGGGGUGGAAUUCCAGGUGUAGCGGUGAAAUGCGUAGAUAUCUGGAGGAACAUCGGUGGCGAAGGCGACACCCUGGACUCAUACUGACACUGAGGUGCGAAAGCGUGGGGAGCAAACA